CCUACAGAUGCGCCAACGAAUGCACCUACAGAUGCGCCAACGAAUGCACCUACAGCAGCGCCAACGAAUGCACCUACAGCAGCGCCGGUAACCACAGAAAGACCAACAUCUUCUACGAAAAUUAAUUCUGACUCAAUGUGUAGCGAUCUCGGACUCUCCGAUGGCAAUUAUGCUGACCCCAACUCGUGCAGUACUUUCAUUAGUUGCUCUGGUCUAGUGACUUAUAUCAUGCCAUGCCCAGCUGGACUUGUGUACAACGUCAAGUAUGAUUACUGCGACUGGCCCUACAACGUACCAGAGUGCUCUGUCUAGCAUAGAGGAGAGAGUUGUCUAUCUUAAAGUUUAGCUUUCAUUGAGUACACAGCAUUGCACAAUAUAUGUCUUCUUCACCUUUUUUGUAAUGGAGUUUCAGUGUCAUAAGUAACUGGCUGCAGUGUGUCUAGUUGUUAAGGAAUGUGUGUGUGUGUGUGUUAUAUGGUGACGGUGGGAAGAGGUUAGCAAUCGGUUGUCAAUGAUGCAUUCAGAGGCGGCCUUAGCAGAGGGCGACGUCCUGGGCGAGUGUCAUAUGUGGGAUCCAUAGCCUAUAUAAAUAGCUAAUAGUUGUCCCUUUACCUUCGCAGAUCCGACUUUUGCUGAAGGGCUAUAUCACUGGUUUCC
rnacentral:sRNA from 1 species